AGAGUUUGAUCCUGGCUCAGAGCGAACGCUGGCGGCGUGCUUAACACAUGCAAGUCGCGCGGGAAAGGGGCCUUCGGGCCCUGAGUAGAGCGGCGCACGGGUGCGUAAGACGCGGGUGACCUAUCCGAGAGGCGGGGAUAACCCUUCGAAAGAGGGGCUAAUACCGGAUGUGCCCACGGGCAGAGAUGCCUGGGGGCAAAGGGUGCUCCUUGAUAGGGGCACGCCCUCAUGGCGGGGCCCGCGGCCUAUCAGCUAGUUGGUAGGGUAACGGCCUACCAAGGCGAAGACGGGUAGCUGGUCUGAGAGGAUGGCCAGCCACACGGGGACUGAGACACGGCCCCGACUCCUACGGGAGACAGCAGUGGGGAAUAUUGGGCAAUGGGCGCAAGCCUGACCCAGCGACGCCGCGUGGGUGAUGAAGGCCUUCGGGUCGUAAAGCCCUGUCGGGUGGAAAGAAUGACCUUGGGACAAAUAGCCCUCAGGUGUGACGGUACCACCGAAGGAAGCACCGGCCAAUUCCGUGCCAGCAGCCGCGGUAAU
rnacentral:rRNA from 1 species